UCAGUCGAGCCGUGUGCCGCGUCGCGUUAGUGUCGUGCGGUAGUGCCUGCGUUUCGCGUGUCUCGUCGAGAGCAUCGACGAUGACGUCUUCCUCGUCCCGAUUAUGAGCGGCGCGCGCUCCUCACCAAGAUCACCGGCCACGUUCUCCCCGUCGUUAUUGCCGUUUUUUCUCCAUUUUCACGCGGGCCGUCGAUCGGAGAAGCCGCGCGUCAGGGCUACCAACGAACUUUCGUUCGUUGUCGCCUUGCUUCGACUUCGCGAAAUCGCGAGAUCGAACGUCGCCGGGCGAUCACUUUCGAAUCCGUCUGCCGGUUUCGUUGGCAAGUCUGCGUACACGAGGGGAAACUUCAACGCGUGGAAUAGCCGACCGUUAACGUCGCGAGUGACUGCACGGGAUUCUCUGGAGAACGUCGAGUUGCGAUUUUCGGACGAGUGCCGGUCCGGUUGUCGCGACAAAAAGUGUCUCAUCGCUGAGUAAAUCGCGCUCGAUUCUCGAUUGUUUGCAACGCUCGCUUCGUUCAGUGUACGCUUUAUCGGGGACGAGUAACCGAGGCGGACUCGUCGAAUGUAACCGGGUGAAUGUAGCCGAGUGACAGUGCGUCGCGAGAGUUUUUUGAAAAUUCCUGCGGAAAGCGAGCGGGAGGGAGACCGUUCGCGGAUCAUUUCGCCGACGUUGCCAAGUUUCCGUUGCUUUCAGCGGAAGGACCCUUCGCUCGUCCGUCGUCACGAAGAUCUCACGUGAUCUAUAAUCGUCUUCCGCUGAAAAAGCGCGGAUCCGAGCGGAUUUUCGAACGAUCGGACAACGUCGCUCGUGAACUUUGUCGAGUCUUCAACGAUCGACGACGUAAAUCGCCGAGAUUCAUAUCGUCCCUGUCGGAUCUCUCGAGCUCCUUGGAAUGGUGGACUUGCUUCAGUUAAUCGCGUAGUGACUUUCGCGCCAUGUUUUCUCAUCGAUCUCCCUCGAGUGACGUAACCAGCGAGUGCGCGGAAUUAUUUUAACCAAGUGCCCAAGUACAUUCGAGUUACAACCUUAUCCCUCGUCGUGAAUAACCGGUCGAAAUUGCAUCAUCGAACAUCAGCGGCUCGAAUUCCGCGAAACGUACGCCAGGAGACAGAGGCAAAACAGACGAGGAUCGGAUGUCACGCGUGCGUUAGAAGAAGACGGAUAGACCCGUCUAAAUUUUCCCGGAACCGAGAGCGAGAUUCGAUCGUCGACUUUUCGAGCCGAGGUGUCCUCGCUUUUUUCUUCAAGAAUCAUUCUUUCGGAAGCGAGAAGAAGACGCAGCGAUCUUACGUCCUCGUGUAUCUCGUAAUGCGCCGAAGAGCGGUACACGUCAAACGGGGAACGUGACCAUCGCCAGCCAGCCCCCCUCCCCCCUCCUACCGCAUGUUCGGAAAGUCGGCGAGACGACCCUCGUUAGUAUCGCGGCCGAUCGCGGGGGAGAGAAUGUCACGUUGAAACGUGAGAACGGACGCGAGUUUACGCUGAAUCGGACGAAUCGAGUUUCGACGAGAGAUCCGCGCGUCUCGAUGGACGUUCGUCUGGGAAACGAUCCCGCGAGAUGGUAGCGAGGCACAGCGGAUAAGGAGACGGGACAGGGAUCGUCGUGCGAGGGGAAGAGGUGGGAAAGGGUGGGCGAAGAACCGAGUGAGCGGGCGAGGAGAGCCGGGGAGAGAUUUUAAAAGAGCGAACUCGCGGGGGCGUAGCCGGGGCCCACGCGUGCACAAGAGCGAGAUGACGAUGGCGAGUAACAUCGUGGUCGAGUGGCUGCGCUCGCUCCACCUCGGCCAAUACUCGGAGUCGUUCAUCGACAAUGGCUACGACGACCUUGAGAUCUGCAAGCAGAUCGGCGAUCCGGAUCUCGACGCGAUCGGCGUCUUCAAUCAGAAGCACCGGGCCCGCCUGCUGCAGUCGGUCAAGACCCUGCGCGAGGAGGGGGCCGCGAGUGUGUACUUUACGCUGGAGGAGACGAACGACAGCAACUGCGACAACAUCAGCUCCAAGUCAUCGAGGACGUCGUCCGAGAGGCCGCCCAGCGACAAAGAGGCGCAGCGAGCGUCGCCCACGGCGAGCUCCUCGAGCGGCGGUCAAGAGUUGACCAAGUUCGCCGACGAGUACGAGGAGGGCAAGGCCGAACUCGUGAGAAUUCCGAGGAUGCAGCUGAGGAUGCUGCUGCAGGAGAAGCUGAGACACGACGGCAUCAGGCUGGCCUGUCAACCGUACACCACGCCGGAGGGUGAGAGGGGAUACUUGGAGGGACUCGCUUCGAGGUACGCGGAUCUCUUCAGAACACAUUACGGAGAUGUUUUGGAACCGCUCGAGGAGUUACGCCGGCGAGAAACAAACGCUUCUGCCAGAAUGCCCAACACUCAGCUCACCACCAGUCAUUCACAGCCCAUUUACGUGCCCGGGAAGUACUCGCCCUCGAGCUGCCUCAGCGACAAGGAGGAGGAUGAAAUCUAUGGCUUCGGAUACGGUGUCUUCAGCAGACAGAUGCUUCAGCAUCGACAGCAGAAGCUCGCACUCGCCACACAAAACACGACUAGUGCCGUGACAUCAGGUGGACCUCAGCCAACCUACCAAAGUUGUCUGAGCCCGAGAUCUGCGUUCUUCUACGAGUUCCCGCCUAACGAACAGGGACAAAAUACGAGUAAGAAAAAGACGACAUUUUCGAGAUUGUUACGAGGAUUGAAGACUCAUAGGAAAGAGAAACAAGGACAGCAAGCUCAAGGCUCUCCCAGGCACGGUCGCGCAAGGAUGGGCGUCCCUCAAAGGGUAGAUACUCCUGACAGCGUUCUGCAAAGUGGCUUAGGUCUCGGACCCGAUAUGGGACACACGAUUCUUCGUUCGAUGGUGGAUCCUAGAGAUUACGAUCGACUGAGAUAUUUACAGAUGAAUGGCGGACAACCAAACAGCUUCGAAGAAACCAUACACAGACUGAAAGUUCAAGAGGCGCUACGUAAGAAAGAGCGAUUCCACAAAGAGCACGAGGAGAUACUGAGGGAUAUCCGGCAAGGUUUAAUGCAGCUAGGACGAGAUGGACGGGGUCAGCUCCCUGGGGAUGAUACGUACAUGUACGAUGAAGACGCGCGAUGCGGAGGUGCGGGCGGUUUAGGACCAGGUGGUCAACACUGGUACGACGAACCGCCUUAUGAAUCGGAUCCCGAAGACUUUCUUAUGGGAGCUAGCGGUGGUCCGGUACCUACCGCGACUAUUCAAAAUGGAAGGGUGUGCUUUACACUGAACUUGAGGCCGGAGAAUCGAGGGGAGGGCGUGAUCUCUCUUCGAACAGCUGGUGAUAUCAGCCUGCCGCGCGAUCGCUCGAGAAAAGGUGCGACGUCGACGAUGCGAGGUCUCAUCGUUCCUCAGGGUCACAAUAAUCCGCCGACGAUUAUACCCUUAACACAUUCAAGAGCUUCGCGUGAGAGCGGAGAUUACGCGAGUAGCGAUGUGCAGAGUGUGAGCUCGAGACUGUCGACUGUGUCGGUGGACACGAGUAGGAGCGACCAGCCUCCGGUGGGCGGUUGCCAUCCCGAUCGGCCGGAGCAUCACCACGAGCACCAUCACAACCAUCGUCAUCAUCACGAACAUCACUCGGUCUCACCCCGAUCCAAUCAACGUCACCCCGCCGCUACUAGCACGACCAUAACCAACACCGUCGACGCAACGUCACCGCAAAGCAACGCGCAACGUCGCCCGAUUCCCAGAUAUAGCCGGAGUAGCGGCGAGGAGGGACUGUCGCCCAGCCAGAGCAGCGACUACGAAGAUCAAGAGGAACUCGAGAGUCAACACUCGGCUGCCGUACACACAUCGGAGGCCAGCGCUCUGCUGGAGAGCGACGCCAGGGCGGGAAUCGCGGGCCGGGCGAGGAAUUUGAGGCACGACGUGCAGCGAAAGAUCUCGAGGCUGCGCCAGGACCGCGCGUCCUCGGAAGCCUUCCCGUGCAGCGCGAGCAGCGUCGAGAGCCUGCCGAGCGGAAGUGGCUCGAGCACGCAGGCACUGGUCCGUGCGGGAAGCAAUCACAGCUCGAUAUCCUGCGAGGACAGGGACGCCAUCAGCCCGACGUCCAUCGGGCCUGUUCUCUGCAGAGCGAGAGCGCUCGUAGAUUACACCCCCAGUCCGUACGACAAGGACGUUCUCAAGUUCAAGAAGGGGGACAUAAUCGAUGUGGUACAAAUGAACAAGAGCGGACUGUGGAAGGGCGUCGUACACAACAGGAUAGGCCACUUCAAGUUUAUAAACGUCGAGAUACUGAACGACAGGGUACCUAGACGAGGGGAGCCGGAGCGGGGCAAGUGGGGUCAGAGAUAUAGGCAGAAGCCGGGUUCCGUUCAAGAGCUCUUGCAGAGAAUGAAUCUUCAGGAACAUAUUCCAGUUUUUAUAUUGAACGGAUACGAGGAUCUGGAGCUCUUCAGGGAGUUGGAGGCGGCGGAUCUGGACUAUUUGCGUAUACAUCAACCCGAGGAUCGUGCCAAGAUACUCACCGCCGUGCAGCUUCUACACGAUCUUCAGUCGGGUAGCGAAGGUGACCUGGCUUCCAGCUCGGAGGGUGACGAGGUCAGCCGUCUGGUUUUAACCUCCGGCCAGACAUCCGGCCACUGUUCUCCCUUCAACCGACGCCAGUUCCCGCGAGACUCCGGCUGUUACGACGCGCACAAGAAUACGACCAGUCGACGGACCAUCAGCCCGGAAUCAACCACGACGUCGGUGAAGCUGUCGAGAGAGAACAAUUUGGAUAGCGCGUCGACGGCAGCCACGAAGAGCGGCGCGGCCACUGCAGAGGGUGGUUUGGCCGAUUCGAAGGACGACUUUCAUCCCAAUAUACCAAUCUCCGGGCCGGUGGAAAGAAAAGAGAGCCAGUUCGAGAAGUCGCCGUUGCUGCGGGGCGGCAACGUGCGAUAUAUCGCGAAAAGAGGUACCUUCGGCGAGACGGUGGUCAUCGAGGACGCCUGCGAGGCUGGCCCAAAACUAGGCGGUAUGGUCAAAUACAUGGUCGGCGGUACCGGCGAUCUCGGUCUGGAGAACACCGGCAACGUCGCCGGGCUCGGCCAGCGCGGUUGUCUCAGCGAAAAAUCCAGCGAUUCCGGCGUCAGCUCGUCCAGCAUCAGCUCGGCGCCUCCUCCCAGGGACAAGGUUCUCGCAUCAACCAGCGUCCUCUCGGACUCGCCGACCAAGAGCUUUGGCAGCUUCACCAGGGCAUCGCCGACUUCCCAGGCUGGUAGCAAAACUCAGAAUAGUGACGGGAGUUAUCAAUGAGAGGAGCAGCAACGAAUCGAUAGGUCGGCGAGUCGUAGUGCGAUCUUGAGCAUGAAGGCUGCGAUUCGUCUGCGAAAAAAUUGAGCAAUGUCGGGAUCAACGAAUACUUCGGAUAUGUAUUUUGUAUUCGAUAAUAAGAAAGAUACAACUUCCGAAUCCGAUCCUAAUGAAUGUACGUCGCAACAAGAUGUUUCUUCCACUCCGAAUAACGUGCAGAGUUAAAGCAAUUUUAAUGAAAUUAACGAUAGUAAUAAUUGACGCAGAUAUGCUAUGUUGUAAAAUUGUCAAGUAUGCGGUGCAUACAAACGUAUCCCGAUUUGAAUACGUAAAGCAAUAUCUUAUUUCCUAUUAUUAAUUCUUUUUAUUAAAACAAAUGUAUAAAUAAAAGAUCCUACUUUGUUUGUCACGAACACACGUGAUCGUAAAUUCGAAUAUCUCUUGACACGCGCCGAUAUUAACGUCGAGAGAAAUAUUUUGUUAUUCCCUAUCUUGGAUAUUCGAGGAUGUCGAGGGAAAGUGAUUCGAGGCAAGAAUCGCGCAAAAUUCUGAAAUUCAGAAUUUCUUAAUUUAACAAGAACUGCCGAAAGGAUGCGCGAGCAAGAGUUUCUUCGCGUCACGUUUGAUUCGAAAGAAGGUGCGUUUAACGAGAAGAGCGAGGCUGAGCACGAUGUCACUGCCAGUCAUCAUUCUGAUCAUUCUGAUACAUUUGUCGAUUGCUCUUGGUUUAUCGAAAUCAAGCCAAGUCACAUCGCGCCUAAUUAUAUAAUUAAUAAUAGGAAUAAUAAGUGAAUAUUAUGUGAUAUGGUAGCAAUAUACGAUCGAUUAAUCGAAUAGGUAGAGACGAAAGGAACGACGGCCAACGACGACGUGAAUCGUCGUCGCGAUCCAAUGCGUACAAUAAAUAAAUGAUGAGAGAAAAAAGAAGGAAUAAAGAGAUCCGUUGUAUAUAAUAAAGGCGCGCCCCCAUUACUUUUGAUUUCGCAUUCGAUGCUAUUUAUCGAUUUCUAACAAGAAAACUUGGCGAUUCGUUACUGCAAACACUAUAUAGUUUAUCUGAUACGUGCGAUAUAGUCCGUGAAAAACUGCCAACGUUAUUGCUCUUGUUCCUGUCUCUCUCUUCAGAGAUAGCGGGGUCUCUUAUCUCAUAUAUUUUCAACUCUUUUAUACGUUAAAUCGAUCUCAUCGCUAUAUGAAAGACGUGCGUAAACCGUACGAGAGAUAGUUAUGAAUCAUCUCGAGACAAUUUUCCGCUUAAAUAUAGCAAACUCUCGCGAGGAUCCAUCUUUCUUAUCCAGUGAUGUAGACGGAUUAUCGGAUCACAGGAUGCCUUAUGAGCGUUUUUCACUAGCUUAUUUUACUUAGCUUAUUUACGCGACCUUAAUAAAGCCCACUGCACACCCUCGAACAACGUCGGCCCUCGCGAGGGAAAUAUCUCGUUUGCUUUUUCACCUUUCGCAUAAUUUUUUACGGAAUAACGACGACACGAAGUUUAUCCACGGCACCGAUUAUUAUGCCGCGUCGCUUACUAUUACGAUCGACAAUCCCCCAUCGUCGAUGCGACUCACAAGUUCUUCGACACGAUGGUAAUCUGUACAUGUGUAUAUUGACCACGUCACGGGAGAAGAAAACGUUGAAAGUUACAGAGAUUUUGUAUGUACGCAUACACAUAUAUAUAUAUAUGCGUAGAACUUAACGAUGUUUUGUAUUGAUCUUGCCCGUUUGCCAAAAUUUAAGACUAGGCUCUAUACGCGAUAUACUAUAUAUAUACAUAUAUAUAUUAUACCGUUGGAUUUUAUUGUACAUCUCUUGUAUAGUGUAAAAUCAUAGAUGAAUUUACGAGACGCGGGAGCGCAAUCAGAAAAAGAGCUGCGGGAACAGAUGGGCGGAGCCGAGAAGCCCGAUGGAUAAUAAUAGUAAUUUGUAAGUAAUAAUUUUAGUAUGUGUGAAGGGGAGGCGAUUCGAAGCGCAUUAUUAUUAAUUAAAGUAGUAGAAAAAAAAAUAUGCAGGACACGCACCCAUCCCCGAAUGAAUGAACCAUCGAAAUAGCACGUUGACAGAGAAGGUGGUGAGAGAUAUUGGAGAGUUCUUGCAAUGCCGUGUUUUUCACACUUACGAUAAACACUAAAGUGUUGCAUAUCCAUUUAAUUGACAAAUAAAAGGAUCAUUGGAGAUAAUGUAAUCGUACCAAAACUAGCCAGAAUUUUUGUUUAUUAAUUACGACGUUUCGACAAUAUGCUUGUGGUCCUUUUCAAGUACACGCUGGAAUAUGAAAUGAACAAUUAGAUUUUCAACGGUUUGAAUAAACAAUGAAAUGUGAACAAUUUGAGUACACACGGAUCAAAUGGUAGAUAUAAAUCAUGGUAUUGUAAACUGCACAAGUCACAAGUUGAUUCAAUUAUUGAAUUAUUGAAAAUCAAAUUGUUCACAUUUAAUUCGUGUGUGUACUGUUUAUUCAAACCGUUGAAAAUCCAAUUGUUAAUUUCAUAUUCCAGUAUAUACUUGAAAAGGACCACAAGCAUAUGAUCGAAACGUAAUUAAUAAACAAAAAUUCUGGCUAGUUUUGAUCGAUUACAUUAUUUCCAACGAUCCUUUGAUUAAUUGACUAGCGAUAUUAAGAUAAUUUAUGACAAAUAAAACUUGCGCUCGGUGUGUGUGUUCACACACGCGGUUUCCAAUAGAAUAUCUUAAUAAUCCUCGGAUAGGGAUAAAUUAAACGAUGACGAUAUUCUUACGCGAAUGCGGAUGAUCGGGCAAGUUCGAGAUGAUAAUUGAGAGCUUAGUGUUUAUCGUAUUCGAUGUACGUUAUUGCAAUAACGUUAUAAAAAUUUACUGAAAGCUACAAGCGUUUCACAAGCGAUACAUGUACAUUUCCCACAUUGUCAUCAUCUAACGUGUAAGGUAGAGAGCGUGCUUCUUUUUACCACAUUGUCGCAACACGGAAAACAAAUUAGGAGGAGGUAGAGAAGAGAUUCGGUCGAUUCAAAAGUCAGCCAUGAUUAGAUCGACCGUGUCGCAAGUUGCUUCCAUCGAGAUUGAUCGACGUAUUCGCGAGCAUGCAUGGAAGGAAAUUUUGAGAUCAAGUUCCGCUCGCUUUAUCCAGUGGACCCCUUCUUUUUAACGAGUUUACGCGACGAUUCGACGAUUCGAAUAGUACCGAGGAGGCUUAUUCAUUAAACGAUAUAUCGACUUCGAUGACGUCUGCUAGUUUAUCCGUUCCGUCGAGAAUACUGACAAGCGUAGAGAAUGAGCGAGGCGAUUAUUACGAGACAAUGGACGAGAUUGUGAGGGAGAGAAUUGAAAAUUGAGCGCGUGUGUGGGAGCGUACGUGUGAGCGAAUUGAAAAGGAAGACGACACGCGAUGUUAAAUUAGUAACGAGUUUAUGAGAAUACGAAUAGACACGAUAGUGAUUUUAUUAGCUCGGGAAAAAAAAAAUUAUGCAGCGUUUGAUGUAAAGUAAACUUAUUCUAAUCGUAGACCCUGCCCUGCCCUGCCCCUUCCCCCUCCCCCUCCUUCUCCGCCCCCCCCCACGCUCUCCCUUCGAGAAAAAGGCGCAGUAAUCGAAAAUAGAAUAAUUUAAGGGAAUCUUAUGAGGAGGAAGCGAUGAAUCGUCGAUGAAAGAAGGCCUAUGAUGGCGUCGCCUCGCAAAACGCCCCCUCGAAAAACGGCGUAGCGCGAUCGCUAAAGAUAAAUUUAUUCGUCACAAUCGAGAAGCGCGACGCUUUCUCGGUGAUUUGCUGAAGCGGAAAGAAGUUUAAGCGUUUUAACGUAGCGGUCUAGUCCAUUCUUCUCGCGUGGUUAACGAAAAUAUAUAAUGUACAUAAAAUAAAUAAAAUGAAGAAACACACAAGAUUUAGAGAGAGAGAAAGAGAGAAUCGGCGAUCGCGAGCGCGCGAAAAUUAGCGCGCAUCGUCGUCGGACCUUUUUAUAAGCUGAUUUUGUAUUUAUUCGUUAAUUGCGGGAUUUGUAGAUGGCCACGAAAUCACACAUAAUUCUAAUCUCGUCUCUCGGUUCUCGUAUGAUUUCCAACGAUAAGUGUUAAUUUAUUGACUGUGAAUAGAAAUAAACGAUGGAAGAUACAAACGAG
rnacentral:misc_RNA from 1 species